GAUGAACGCUGGCGGCGUGCCUAAUACAUGCAAGUCGAGCUAACAGAUGAGGAGCUUGCUCCUCUGACGUUAGCGGCGGACGGGUGAGUAACACGUGGAUAACCUACCUAUAAGACUGGGAUAACUUCGGGAAACCGGAGCUAAUACCGGAUAAUAUAUUGAACCGCAUGGUUCAAUAGUGAAAGACGGUUUUGCUGUCACUUAUAGAUGGAUCCGCGCCGCAUUAGCUAGUUGGUAAGGUAACGGCUUACCAAGGCAACGAUGCGUAGCCGACCUGAGAGGGUGAUCGGCCACACUGGAACUGAGACACGGUCCAGACUCCUACGGGAGGCAGCAGUAGGGAAUCUUCCGCAAUGGGCGAAAGCUUGACGGAGCAACGCCGCGUGAGUGAUGAAGGUCUUCGGAUCGUAAAACUCUGUUAUUAGGGAAGAACAAAUGUGUAAGUAACUAUGCACGUCUUGACGGUACCUAAUCAGAAAGCCACGGCUAACUACGUG
rnacentral:rRNA from 1 species